rnacentral:rRNA from 1 species
AGAGUUUGAUCAUGGCUCAGGACGAACGCUGGCGGCACGCUUAACACAUGCAAGUCGAACGAGAGAAGAGGAGCUUGCUUUUCUGAUCUAGUGGCGGACGGGUGAGUAACACGUGAGCAAUCUGCCUUUCAGAGGGGGAUACCGAUUGGAAACGAUCGUUAAUACCGCAUAACAUAAUUGAACCGCAUGAUUUGAUUAUCAAAGAUUUAUCGCUGAAAGAUGAGCUCGCGUCUGAUUAGCUAGUUGGUAAGGUAACGGCUUACCAAGGCGACGAUCAGUAGCCGGACUGAGAGGUUGAUCGGCCACAUUGGGACUGAGACACGGCCCAGACUCCUACGGGAGGCAGCAGUGGGGAAUAUUGCACAAUGGAGGAAACUCUGAUGCAGCGAUGCCGCGUGAGGGAAGAAGGUUUUAGGAUUGUAAACCUCUGUCUUCAGGGACGAAAAAAGACGGUACCUGAGGAGGAAGCUCCGGCUAACUACGUGCCAGCAGCCGCGGUAAUACGUAGGGAGCGAGCGUUGUCCGGAAUUACUGGGUGUAAAGGGAGCGUAGGCGGGAUCGCAAGUCAGAUGUGAAAACUAUGGGCUUAACCCAUAAACUGCAUUUGAAACUGUGGUUCUUGAGUGAAGUAGAGGUAAGCGGAAUUCCUAGUGUAGCGGUGAAAUGCGUAGAUAUUAGGAGGAACAUCAGUGGCGAAGGCGGCUUACUGGGCUUUAACUGACGCUGAGGCUCGAAAGCGUGGGGAGCAAACAGGAUUAGAUACCCUGGUAGUCCACGCCGUAAACGAUGAUUACUAGGUGUGGGGGGACUGACCCCUUCCGUGCCGCAGCAAACGCAAUAAGUAAUCCACCUGGGGAGUACGACCGCAAGGUUGAAACUCAAAGGAAUUGACGGGGGCCCGCACAAGCAGUGGAGUAUGUGGAUUAAUUCGAAGCAACGCGAAGAACCUUACCAGGUCUUGACAUCGUAUGCAUAGCUCAGAGAUGAGUGAAAUCUCUUCGGAGACAUAUAGACAGGUGGUGCAUGGUUGUCGUCAGCUCGUGUCGUGAGAUGUUGGGUUAAGUCCCGCAACGAGCGCAACCCUUACUGUUAGUUGCUACGCAAGAGCACUCUAGCAGGACUGCCGUUGACAAAACGGAGGAAGGUGGGGAUGACGUCAAAUCAUCAUGCCCCUUAUGACCUGAGCCUCACACGUACUACAAUGGCUGUCAACAGAGGGAAGCAAAGCCGCGAGGUGGAGCGAACCCCUAAAAGCAGUCUUAGUUCGGAUUGUAGGCUGCAACCCGCCUACAUGAAGUCGGAAUUGCUAGUAAUCGCAGAUCAGCAUGCUGCGGUGAAUACGUUCCCGGGCCUUGUACACACCGCCCGUCACGCCAUGGGAGUCGGUAACACCCGAAGCCUGUAGUCUAACCGCAAGGAGGACGCAGUCGAAGGUGGGAUUGAUGACUGGGGUGAAGUCGUAACAAGGUA